rnacentral:rRNA from 1 species
AUACGGGAUGAGCUCGCGAGACAUUUAGUUAAGUUGGCGGGGUAACGGCCCACCAAGACCGAGAUGUCUAGGGGAAUUGAGAGGUUGGUCCCCCACACUGGAACUGAGACACGGUCCAGACUCCUACGGGAGGCAGCAGUGAGGAAUAUUGGACAAUGGCCGGAAGGCUGAUCCAGCCAUGCCGCGUGAAGGAAUAAGGUCCUAUGGAUAGUAAACUUCUUUUGUACGAGAGCAAUAAGUGUCACGAGUGACACGAUGAGAGUAUCGUACGAAUAAGCAUCGGCUAACUCCGUGCCAGCAGCCGCGGUAAUACGGAGGAUGCGAGCGUUAUCCGGAUUUAUUGGGUUUAAAGGGUGCGUAGGCGGGAUUUUAAGUCAGCGGUGAAACGCAAGGGCUCAACCCUUGACCUGCCGUUGAAACUGGAGUUCUUGAAUGCGGAUGCUGUGGGAGGAAUGUGUGGUGUAGCGGUGAAAUGCAUAGAUAUCACACAGAACACCGAUUGCGAAGGCAUCUCACAAAUCCGUGAUUGACGCUGAGGCACGAAAGUGUGGGGAUCAAACAGGAUUAGAUACCCUGGUAGUCCACACUGUAAACGAUGAUAACUCGCUGUCGGCGAUACACAGUCGGUGGCCAAGCGAAAGCGAUAAGUUAUCCACCUGGGGAGUACGACCGCAAGGUUGAAACUCAAAGGAAUUGACGGGGGCCCGCACAAGCGGAGGAACAUGUGGUUUAAUUCGAUGAUACGCGAGGAACCUUACCCGGGCUCGAACGGCAAGUGAACGACACAGAGAUGUGAAGGUCCUUCGGGACACUUGUCGAGGUGCUGCAUGGUUGUCGUCAGCUCGUGCCGUGAGGUGUCGGCUUAAGUGCCAUAACGAGCGCAACCCUUGCCAUUAGUUACCAGCAUGUAAUGAUGGGGACUCUAGUGGGACUGCCACCGUAAGGUGUGAGGAGGGGGGGGAUGACGUCAAAUCAGCACGGCCCUUACGUCCGGGGCGACACACGUGUUACAAUGGUGGGUACAGAGGGCAGCUACCUGGUGACAGGAUGCAAAUCUCGAAAACCCAUCUCAGUUCGGAUCGGAGUCUGCAACUCGACUCCGUGAAGUUGGAUUCGCUAGUAAUCGCGCAUCAGCCAUGGCGCGGUGAAUACGAUGCCGGGCCUUGCACACACCGCCCGUCA